AGGUUGGCCUCAAGUACAAUGAGUCAGUGUUAAUAAGGGUAACUAGAUGCCCUAAUGGUUGUGCCAGACCUUAUAUGGCUAAGCUUGGACUGGUUAGUGAUGGACCCAACAUGUACCAGGUCUGGCUCAGGGGAACGCCUAACCAAACCUCACUAGCAAAAUAUUUCAUGAAUAAGGUGAAGAUUCAUGAUCUAGAAAAGGUUUUGUAGCCAUUGUUCUACAACUAGAGGCACAAACGCCAACAGGGAGAAUCUUUCGGCAAUUUCACAACCCGCCUGGGCUUUGACAAACUGAAAGAGACAGUUGAGAAAUGAGAGGGCAUAACAAUGGCACCGGCACGGUUUAAUCUAAAGCUUUUUGCUGACAAAGACACAUAUGAAGCCAUGAAUGAACUUGCAAAGCUUCAGAACAAGACUGCUCACCAGCUGGCCAUGGAAGU